rnacentral:rRNA from 1 species
UACGGAGGGUGCAAGCGUUGUCCGGAAUCACUGGGCGUAAAGGGCGCGUAGGCGGCUCGGUAAGUAGGGGUGAAAUCCUGCGGCUCAACCGCAGGGCUGCCUUCUAAACUGUCGAGCUCGAGCACGGUAGAGGCAGAUGGAAUUCCCGGUGUAGCGGUGGAAUGCGUAGAGAAUCGGGAAGAACAUCAGUGGCGAAGGCGGUCUGCUGGGCCGUUGCUGACGCUGAG